CGAACGGGUGAGUAACGCGUGAGGAACCUGCCUCAAAGAGGGGGACAACAGUUGGAAACGACUGCUAAUACCGCAUAAGCCCACGGCUCGGCAUCGAGCAGAGGGAAAAGGAGCAAUCCGCUUUGAGAUGGCCUCGCGUCCGAUUAGCUAGUUAGUGAGGUAACGGCCCACCAAGGCGACGAUCGGUAGCCGGACUGGGAGGUUGAACGGCCACAUUGGGACUGAGACACGGCCCAG
rnacentral:rRNA from 1 species